CCUACGGGAGACAGCAGUCGAGAAUCAUUCACAAUGGGGGAAACCCUGAUGGUGCGACGCCGCGUGGGGGAAUGAAGGUCUUCGGAUUGUAAACCCCUGUCAUGUGGGAGCAAAUUAAAAAGAUAGUACCACACGAGGAAGAGACGGCUAACUCUGUACCAGCAGCCGCGGUAAUACAGAGGUCUCAAGCGUUGUUCGGAAUCACUGGGCGUAAAGCGUGCGUAGGCUGUUUCGUAAGUCGUGUGUGAAAGGCGCGGGCUCAACCCGCGGACGGCACAUGAUACUGCGAGACUAGAGUAAUGGAGGGGGAACCGGAAUUCUCGGUGUAGCAGUGAAAUGCGUAGAUAUCGAGAGGAACACUCGUGGCGAAGGCGGGUUCCUGGACAUUAACUGACGCUGAGGCACGAAGGCCAGGGGAGCGAAAGGGAUUAGAUACCCCUGUAGUC
rnacentral:rRNA from 1 species